rnacentral:tRNA from 1 species
GCUCAGGCCGACACAACGGAUCGGAGCUUCUAAUCCGAUGGCCGCAGGUUCGAAUCCUGCCGGGUGCGCCA